AAGACUAUACUUUCAGGGAUCAUUUUUAUAGUUUGUUACUAGAGAAGUUUCUCUGAACGUGUAGAGCACCGGAAGCCACGAGGAAGAGAUGUGGUGUUUUUUCCUGAGCGUGAAGUCGGUGUUUGGUGCUGUCUUGUUACAGCUGCCAUUUGCCAUUGAUGAUCGUUCUCUUUCUCUGUUUUUCAGAGAAAGAGAGGGAGAAAACGCGUUCUGAGUGGU